GACGAACGCUGGCGGCGUGCUUAACACAUGCAAGUCGAACGGAGCGAAUGAAAGCUUGCUUUUAUGAGCUUAGUGGCAAACGGGUGAGUAACACGUAGACAACCUGCCGACAGGAUGGGGACAACAUUCCGAAAGGAAUGCUAAUACCGAAUGAAGCGGAGGAGAGGCAUCUCUUUUCCGUGAAAGAUGGCCUCUAUUUAUAAGCUAUCACCUGUUGAUGGGUCUGCGUCUGAUUAGCUGGUAGGUGAGGUAACGGCUCACCUAGGCGACGAUCAGUAGCCGGUCUGAGAGGAUGAACGGCCACAUUGGGACUGAGACACGGCCCAGACUCCUACGGGAGGCAGCAGUGGGGAAUCUUCCGCAAUGGGCGCAAGCCUGACGGAGCAACGCCGCGUGAGUGAAGAAGGUCUUCGGAUCGUAAAGCUCUGUUGACGGGGACGAACG
rnacentral:rRNA from 1 species